GCGGAACCAUUAUUCCACCAUUGCUGCGACUGCGAGACGUUCUUCCUCCUCCCAUCACCCACCAUGGAAUAGCUCUGUGUAGAAAUCUCGUCCAUUUAUUUAGGAAGCACUGUGUUUAUGUAUUGUUUGAUGCCCGAGGACAUCGAAACAAGAUCUCAGCUCAUCCAAAUCCCCCAUCCAUCAGGGGCCGAGAGGGCAUGGGAUCUGCUCCCUGCUGGGCAUCAAGGGCAAGAGCCACUAUAGUGGGGGAAGGAGAAAGAGGUGGUCGGAUGGACACAGGGGAUCCCCGACUUUUUUGCAUCUCAGCGAUGCGUGUUUUUUUGCUUUCAUGGAUUCAGCUAGCGGCCGAUCUUCAACUAUCGUGUGUAGUUCUAUCCCCUUUUAAAUUCAAUGGAUGUGUUUGGCGGAGAUGUUGGUGGCUCUUUUAUGGAUCUGCUACGUGUUGCAGAUCCCUCAAUUAUCGGGAGGUAAUUUCUUUGAACUUUUCCUUGAAUCCAAUUAAAUACUUUUUUCUUAUUAUCCUCUACCAUUUAAACAUUUCCAGAGUGCAGUGUGAAGAGAACAAUGCUUUGGUUGAUUCAACAGUGCCAAUCGAGCCGGAUGAAAUAAAUUACUCUAACGGUGAACACUUGCCCAGGCUAGUGAAGUAUAACUCUAAGCAAUGCGUGUGGAAUAUUUUGCACUUGAAAUGUUCUAUAAAAUCGACUUAGAUUCUGUUAUUAUAAUAAUAUAUUCUGUUUAUCUGUUCAGUGGGGAUUGUCAAGAGAAAAUAGCAUUGGUAGAUUCACCUGUACCAAUAAAUUCAGAUGAAGAAGAGUACUCAAAUG